ACACGGUAUCAGAGCUGUAGGCAGCUUAUUUCUUGGAAAUCGAUAUUACCAUCCUUCGUGAUCUUAAGCCCAACAACCAUGUAUGACUGUAAGCUCAAAUCCUACCCCAAUUUUUGACCGGAGAGAUCAAAGAGUGAUCCACCUAGAAACCAUGUCUACCGCAACAAACUCUAGUGGUGCAUCUGAAGCACUAGUUACAACAACCGUCAGCAAAGAAAACAAAAGUACUACUCCAACAGGAGAAUUACAAAACAUCCAAGCAGCCUAUAGGUAAAUGGUAAGAAUUAUCUGAAGUGGUCUCAAUUGGUUCGUACAUUCUUGAAAGAAAGAGGCAAGCUGAGCCAUUUGCUCAGCACUGGACCUAAAAAAAAAGGAUCCUAUAUUUGAGGCUGCCAGGCUGGGGAUGAAGAAGACUCUAUGACUUACUCUAAAGUUCGAGAUGCAGCCUAGAUUUAUGAGAUUAAAACAAAAAUCUCAAGUACAAAGCAAGGAAACCAAUCAAUCACUGAAUACUCCAAUCUUCUACAAACUUUGUGGCAGAAGAUGGAUCACUAUCAGUGUAUCAAGAUGACCUGUAGCGAGAAUGCAGCUCUUCUAAAAAGGUUUGUUAAAAAAGACAGGAUUUAUGAAUUUAUUGCUAAUUUAAACAUUGAGUUUGAUGCAGUGAGGGUACAGAUACUUGGGAAAGAAGACUUGUCCCUAAAUAAGACUUAGCCAUUGUUCGUGCUGAGGAAGGAAGGAGAGGAGUUAUGCUUGAGACUCCUACGACGGAUAAUUCAGCUCUAAUGACAAGAAGAAUGCCCCUACAGCAUUCCGAUUCUGAGCAACAAAGGGGUAAGGCUAAAAGAACACCAAGUAAGUGUUGGUCGAACAAUGAUCUAUUAUGGUGUACAUAUUGUAAGAAGCUUAUAAGCAAAUGUUGAAAGUUACAUGGAAAACCACAAGUUGAGAACAAAGGGGCAUCAAGCAAGCAGAAAAGGCGGGAGCAAGCAUAUGUGGCAAACACUCAGCAAUUUGAGGAAGUAGAUUCUUCAAAAUCAUUAACAACUAAGUUCAACAAGGAAGAAAUUACAAAAUUGAAACAAUUACUUGGGUCCCUAGAGAAAUCGACUAGAUCAGGUGGUAUGAAUGACCCUUUACUGAUCUUCAACUCAUGGGAUUUCCAUCUAUGGGCAAAGCACAAGCAUUCCAAGAUCUUCUUUUAGGUAUCUAUUAAGAAGUACAAGGACAAUCAAUUGCACAAGGCUCCAUCCA